ACGGUAGGAAUCAUAGUCCAAUUCAACAAAACUCGACUCUCGAUCCCGUGACCCGGGUUCAAAUCCCGGCCGGAGCA
rnacentral:tRNA from 1 species